UACGUAGGGACCAAGCGUUGUUCGGAUUUACUGGGCGUAAAGGGCGCGUAGGCGGCGUGUUAAGUCAGCUGUGAAAUCUCCAAGCUUAACUUGGAACGGUCAGCUGAUACUGAUGUGCUAGAGUGCAGAAAGGGCAAUCGGAAUUCUUGGUGUAGCGGUGAAAUGCGUAGAUAUCAAGAGGGACACCUGAGGCGAAGGCGGGUUGCUAGGCUGACACUGACGCUGAGGCGCGAAAGCUAGGGUAGCAAACGGG
rnacentral:rRNA from 1 species